GACUUUGCACCUCCAGCCCGAGCGUAAAGCGAAAGGCUGAUGGCUGGUGGCUCUUGCCACCGGCCU
rnacentral:sRNA from 1 species